rfam:Myotis lucifugus cont2.12836, whole genome shotgun sequence.
UUUUUAGUGUAAGUAUGUCUCCUGUAAUAUUUGGGACAUACUUAUACUAGAA